AAACAACACCAUAAAAAUCAUGACAGAAUCCCUUUAAGGUUUACAUACUAUAUUUUUGCUGAUAACACUAUGCUAUAGUAAGUUCAAUAAGUUCCACUGACCGAUGAACAGAUUAUUUAACUGAUUACACUGGAGAACUAGGAAGCAAUUUGGCAAAUAAGAUUCAAUGGUGUUAAAUGCAAGGGUAUUCACUGGUAAAAUAAAUGUUAUUUAAAUAUUAAUGGUAAUUUGUUGGAGGCCUCCUUAAAGAAACAGCAACACCAAAAAAUUAAAUUGUUUCAAGUAAUUAAAAUAUAAUUUAUUGUUGCCCUGCUCUGGUGUGUUUGCUUCAGAAACACUACUAUACUUUAUAUAAAAAAAGCUGCUGUGUAGUGAUGGAGAGAGCUGUUCAAGAGCCAUUCAGUUUCAUGAAACGUAUUUUUUAGUGCUAAAAUUUGUGGAUUAUAAUAAUUACUCUAAAACACUAAAAAUUCCUAAUUAGCAUAACAAACUGAAAAAAUACAAAACUAGGCCAUCACAAAGUUGUCUAGGUCAUGUAGAAGUCAGUGAUAGCUGUUCUAGGUAAUCUUUAUUUAACUUGAAGUUUUAGAGGUUUUUGUGAUUUUUUUAAAUUUGUAAUCACACAAAAAUUUCAAGAUUUUUCGGAUAAUUAUGUGCAUUUUUUCAAAGGAUUUUUUGUUUGUGCAUUUUAUAUUAGGUUGUUUUAAUAAUAACUUGGCAUUUGUGGUUUUAGUGAAAAUGAGCUUUUUUUUGUGGUUUCAAAAACCACUAAAACCACUAAAUUACUGUUACUAUGUUGAUAAAUGGGCCUCCCAAUGUAAGAAAGAUAUACUUUCACUUUUUUAAUUUACUGGCCUUUUACUUGAGAAGGAUUUUUUUUUUUGGAUUAUUGACUGCACAACACUAAGCGGUGUCAGUCAUUGCUUGGAAAAGGACAUUAAUGAGCUGGAAAAAGGACACAGACUUGCAUUUCAACUAGGAGGAAAGAAUAUCAAAGUUUGUGUUAUUUUCUCUGGAAAAAAGAAGCUUGCACGGGGACAUGAUUACUUUUUAUAAGUAUUCUAGAGGACAUAGGUCAGGACAAAGGUCAGGAUAGUCAUGUAUCUAUAUGUAUAUGUAAAUAUAUAAAUAUAUAGCGUUAACUUGGAACGCUAUUGUCUAUUUCAACCCAAAUAAAAGGGGACAUAUAGGGGAAGAUUUAUUAAUCUUUGUCCUUCAUGUCUGAGCAACCAAUUGCUGGCUUGCUGCCAAAUAUGAGUGGGUUUUUCACACAAAACUCAUGACCUUAACCUGGCAAGCUUAACCGGACUGAAUCCGGGAUUUGGUGCAUCCCUAAUUAAUACAGCAGUUGAAUAUUUGAAGCUAUUUUGAUCUCUUUUAUUUUAUUGCUUAAUGCAGUGGCACAACAUUUUUUGGACGCUAUUGAUCCCCUUGAACUAUGUAACUAUGUGACUUAAUGCUGUUUUUGAUUUCAGUAUUAAAUGAGAUAAAGUCAACUAAGCAUCAUUUAUCUCUUUAGAGGCCUACCACCAAGAUUCCUAAUACUGUGUUACCAACAUUAUUUAUGUAAUAUAUACAUUUCCUCUAGUUGCUUACCAUACUCUCAAAGGCUUAUUAGUUUAAGAACAGAGCACACCUUGAGAAUGGAAACUUUGACAACCUUAAAUAAGCAAUUGGACUUUUUAAAGCACAAACCUCACUUAGAAUUAGGAAACAAUAUAUAUACUUAAGGUUGAAGAGGAAGGAUGUUGGGAAAUUUAGAUAAUUUGGAUAGUGACAUUUAAAUGCUCUAAAGCAAGUAAUUUGUAGGGUGUGAGACAGGACAAAUUCCAGCAAAAAUUUUGAGAAUAUGAUUUUAGGUCUUCUUAAAAAUGCAUCCACUAAAAAGAGAAAAGUGUUCCUCUGUAAACAGUGUGUACAUUUUUUGCAUCAGAUGAUUUAGCAAUUGUCAGUUAUGGAGUACUUUAGAUAAGAAAAUGUUUGGUUUAUGACUGGUGAUUCACAGAGUUGCUUGUUGGGAAAGCAUCCUAAGGUCUAUGGAAUAAACCCAAUUGAAGUUUUGGUAUUUAGUAAUGAACUAAUAUUUUAUACUUAUUAUUUACUACAGUCAGGUGUUUUUAAUUGAGAUUUUUUUUCUGCAAAUAGUUGAAAUGAUAAGUCGAUGACUAACAAUAUUUGAUUUUUCCCUCUUAAAAUGGAGAACAUCUUUGUUUAAAUGAUUUGCAAGCAUCUGUGCUCCAAGCUACUUUUAUGAACACUCCUUAUGACUUAAUGUUGAAAAAAAAGCAGAAAAGCUUCAAAUGUUAGGAAAUUGCAAUCCAAAACCAUGUAAUUUAAACCUGAAGUCACUUCUCUUGAACUAAAUGACAUACAGAUGGUAAGUCCUCUUCUCAAGUCUUUGCAAACACAAUUGGCCUUUUUAUAGGUGCGCACACAUAUUAGUAACACUAAUAUUUUUGUCAAUUCUAUUUAAAGCUAAAGCACACAGCGCACUUCUACUGAUAAUUAAAAUUCUUGUUUUUUUCAGUAUUAAUAUAUUAACUAUGUAAAAACACUAUGUAAACAAGAAUAUAUUCACAUUCACAAAAGAAGUGUAUUUAGAAAUCACACACUAGGCACAACAUUUAUUUGAAAACGAAUAUAUGUCUGAUAUGUGUUAUGCCAGUAUGACGUGCAAUACAUAUAUUGGUGCAAAUGGCCAAAUAUAAUGUAUGCUCCAUCUGUAUGUAAUAUACAGUUUUAUUUCCCUCAGCCUGAUAUGCGCAAAUUCUAUAUUCACAUAGGAUGUGUAUAAUUUUAUGUCAUACCUUAAACUUUAGUGCUUUAAAAUAUAUUUGUAAAUGUAAUUGCUAUUCAAAGCAGCAUCUACUGUAGAUGGUGAAAUCCUUUGAAUUUCUUCUUGAAAUUCUUUGAAAUUUUACAUUGGGGAAUGUUAAUCUUAAAUUUUUGCAUGCAAUAUUUACACACACACACACACUCCAUUUUUUUGAAACAUGUUGCUACCAUCGAACUCAAAAUGAGCAUGUAUUUUUCAGAAAACAUUAAAAUAAGAAGAAUAAAAUUAUUAAGUUUGACAUUUGAUAUGUUGUCUUUGUUUUGUUUGCAGUUACAUAUAGGGUUUAAAUGGCUUGCAAGCAUUGCUUUGUCUUUUUAUUUACAUUUUACACAGUUUUUCUGAAAUUAUGCAGCUUCUGAUCUAAGGUAUAUAGGUUGUAUAGGCAGAUAUGCUCUCAGUGCAUCUUUCAGUUGGUUUGGUAAUGCUAAUUGUUACAGCAUUGCAACUACAAUCUGUUUUUCCUCCCACCUGUGUUUUUCUGAUCAGGGUUAAGAUAUUUCUGUGCUGUAAUGUUACAUGAACAUAGCAGCAGACACAAUAAAGUAAAGUAGACUUUCAUAAGUAUUUAACCAUAUUCCUGCCUCUGUAUGCUAAACUUUAAUGUAUAAUCUUUAGUACAUUUUGUUAAGGGGGAACCUACCUUUGCCAUAUCAUUGUUGUAAACCCUGUCUACAAAGCUGGGCAAAAUAUUCGAAUAGAUAAGUCCUCUGCGCUCAGCCUUCCAGACUUCAUGCAUCAAACCCCCAGCAAUAGAGCCGCACUCUCAA